rnacentral:rRNA from 1 species
AUUGAACGCUGGCGGCAUGCUUUACACAUGCAAGUCGAACGGUAACAGGCCGCAAGGUGCUGACGAGUGGCGAACGGGUGCGUAAUGCAUCGGAACGUGCCCAGUCGUGGGGGAUAACUACUCGAAAGAGUAGCUAAUACCGCAUACGAUCUAUGGAUGAAAGCGGGGGACCGUAAGGCCUCGCGCGAUUGGAGCGGCCGAUGUCAGAUUAGGUAGUUGGUGGGGUAAAGGCUCACCAAGCCAACGAUCUGUAGCUGGUCUGAGAGGACGACCAGCCACACUGGGACUGAGACACGGCCCAGACUCCUACGGGAGGCGGCAGUGGGGAAUUUUGGACAAUGGGCGCAAGCCUGAUCCAGCAAUGCCGCGUGCAGGAAGAAGGCCUUCGGGUUGUAAACUGCUUUUGUACGGAACGAAACGGCUCUGGUUAAUACCCGGGGCUAAUGACGGUACCGUAAGAAUAAGCACCGGCUAACUACGUG